rnacentral:rRNA from 1 species
UACGAAGGGGGCAAGCGUUGUUCGGAAUUACUGGGCGUAAAGGGCGCGUAGGCGGCUUACCAAGUCAGGCGUGAAAGCCCCGGGCUCAACCUGGGAAUUGCAUUCGAGACUGAAUAGCUAGGGUGCGGUAGAGGGAAGCGGAAUUUCCGGUGUAGCGGUGAAAUGCGUAGAUAUCGGAAGGAACAUCAGUGGCGAAAGCGGCUUCCUGGACCAGAACCGACGUUCAGGCACGAAAGCGUGGGGAGCAAACAGG